CCCCUCUCAGGGUCACAACUGGAGAGUUUCCAGUCCUCUGCCAGCCUUGGCUAAGAGAGGGAGAGUCAGGCAGAGGGCUACCAGUUCCAUUCCUAGCUUAGUCAGUGGCUAGAGAGUGGAAGGCAAUCUGCUACAAAC